rnacentral:rRNA from 1 species
CUGCUGCCUCCCGUAGGAGUCUGGUCCGUGUCUCAGUACCAGUGUGGGGGACCUUCCUCUCAGAACCCCUACGCAUCGUCGCCACGGCGGGCCGUUACCCCGCCGUCUAGCUAAUGCGCCGCAUGCCCAUCCUCUUCCGAUGAAUCUUUCCUCGAUCUCGGAUGCCCGAAACCGAUAUACGCGGGAUUAGCCUCCCUUUCGGAAGGUUGUCCCCCUGAAGAGGGCAGGUUGCAUACGUGUUACUCACCCGUGCGCCGGUCGCCGG